rnacentral:rRNA from 1 species
UAGGGAAUCUUCCGCAAUGGACGCAAGUCUGACGUAGCAACGCCGCGUGAGUGAAGAAGGAUUUCGGUUCGUAAACCUCUGUUGUUAGAGAAGAACAGCGCAUAGAGUAACUGUUAUGCGUGUGACGGUAUCUAACCAGAAAGCCACGGCUAACUACGUGCCAGCAGCCGCGGUAAUACGCAGGUGGCAAGCGUUGUCCGGAUUUAUUGGGCGUAAAGCGAGCGCAGGCGGUCAAUUAAGUCUGAUGUGAAAGCCCCCGGCUCAACCGGGGAGGGUCAUUGGAAACUGGUUGACUUGAGUGCAGAAGAGGAGAGUGGAAUUCCAUGUGGAGCGGUGAAAUGCGUAGAUAUAUGGAAGAACACCAGUUGCGAAGGCGACUCUCUGGUCUGUAACUGACGCUGAGGCUCGAAAGCGUGGGUAGCAAACAGG